GAGGGGGGGGGACGCGAAUGCACCGACGCUAGAGACCCACAGUGAGCCUUUCUAGCACGGAAUCCCAGCCUGCCUUCUGACUGGCUAAGGGGCCUAGGCCCCGCCCAUCCCCGGUUGUCUGUGAGAUGACAUCAUUAUUAGGAAACAAGGUUUUGCCCAGGAUUGGCUCGCCAGUGGCAUGGGAGGGGCUAGAAUAGAAUGGCUGGAGCGAAACGAAGCUAGAUGAUUUGUGGUCUAGAAACAAAUGGAGAGAUGGGGCAGGUGGGCAUCCCAGGGAAGACGGAGAAGGGGCAAAGAGCAAGCAGGAAGUCAAAGAGGAGAGAGAUGAGGAUGCAUUUGCCUAGUCUCAUGGGAGGACCAGAAGGCAGAUGAGCCAGAGGACCAAGAUUUGAACCCAGGACCUGGUAAAAGGGCAAGGCUGCUCCAUCCCCAGGGACCUGGUGAUCACCCUCAGCAGACAUGGUAGACUCUUGAACCCUGGCAACUGCAAAAACUCAUACCCCAGGAAUUCAUCAUAUGAGGCCAUUCCUCUUUGGCUGGAAUCUGCAUCAAUAAAACACUAAAUCCAAA